GAUGAAGAACGCAGCGAAAUGCAAUACGUAAUGUGAAUUGCAGAAUUCAGUGAAUCAUCGAGUCUUUGAACGCACAUUGCGCCCCCUGGUAUUCCGGGGGGCAUGCCUGUCCGAGCGUCAUUGCAGCCCUCAAGCACGGCUUGUGUGUUGGGCCUCCGUCCUCCUCCCGGGGGACGGGCCCGAAAGGCAGCGGCGGCACCGCGUCCGGUCCUCGAGCGUAUGGGGCUUCGUCACCCGCUCUUGUAGGCCCGGCCGGCGCUUGCCGACACAUCAAUCUUUUUUCCAGGUUGACCUCGGAUCAGGUAGGGAUACCCGCUGAACUUAAGCAUAUCAAUAAGCGGAGGA
rnacentral:misc_RNA from 1 species